AGGAAAAAGAAAACCCANCAGGGAUUGCCCCCAGUAACGGCGAGUGAAGCGGCAACAGCUCAAAUUUGAAAUCUGGCCCCCCGCGGGCCCGAGUUGUACUUUGGAGAGGACGCUUCUGGCGCGGCGCCGUCCGAGUUCCCUGGAACGGGACGCCGGAGAGGGUGAGAGCCCCGUACGGGCGGCCGCCUAGCCUCUGCGAAGCUCCUUCGACGAGUCGAGUAGUUUGGGAAUGCUGCUCAAAAUGGGAGGUAAAUUUCUUCUAAAGCUAAAUACCGGCCAGAGACCGAUAGCGCACAAGUAGAGUGAUCGAAAGAUGAAAAGCACUUUGAAAAGAGGGUCAAACAGUACGUGAAAUUGUUGAAAGGGAAGCGCCUGUGGCCAGACUUGCGCCCCGCGGACCACCCGGCGCCUCGCGCGCCGGGGCACGCCAGCGGGGCGCAGGCCAGCAUCGGCUCUCUCGGGGGGACAAAGGCCGCGGGAACGUAGCGCCCUCGCGGCGUAUUAUAGCCCGCGGCGCCAUGCCCCCGGGGGGGCCGAGGACCGCGCUCCGGCAAGGAUGCUGGCGUAAUGGCCACCGGCGACCCGUCUUGAAACACGGACCAAGGAGUCAAGCAUUGGGGCGAGUGUCUGGGUGGCAAGCCCGCACGCGGAAUGAAAGUGAACGCAGGUGGGAGCUUCGGCGCACCACCGACCGAUCCUGAUGUCCUCGGAUGGAUUUGAGUAGGAGCCCCGCCGCUUGGACCCGAAAGAUGGUGAACUAUGCCUGUAUAGGGUGAAGCCAGAGGAAACUCUGGUGGAGGCCCGCAGCGGUUCUGACGUGCAAAUCGAUCGUCAAAUAUGGGCAUGGGGG
rnacentral:rRNA from 1 species